GAUUAAGCCAUGCAUGUGUAAGUGUAAAUAUCAAAGUUUGGAACUGCGAAUGGCUCAUUAUAUCAGUUAUAGUUUAUUUGGUGAAGUGACUACUUGGAUAACCGUAGUAAUUCUAGGGCUAAUCACAUGAGAAAGUCCUCUGGUGAGGUGUGUUUAUUAGAAUGAAAAGCCAUAUGCUUCGGCAUGAUAGUGAGUAAUAGUAACCUAUCGUAUCGCAUGCUUAAUGUAGCGAUGAGUCUUUCCAAGUUUCUGCCCAUCAGCUUCGAUGGUAGUAUAUGGGCCUACCAUG
rnacentral:rRNA from 1 species